rnacentral:rRNA from 1 species
AUUGAACGCUGGCGGCAGGCCUAACACAUGCAGGUCGAACGGUAGCACAGGAGAGCUUGCUCUCUGGGUGGCGAGUGGCGGACGGGUGAGUAAUGCAUGGGGAGCUGCCCAAUCGAGGGGGAUACCAGCUGGAAACGGCUGCUAAUACCGCAUACGCCCUGAGGGGGAAAGGUGGGGACGUGCGGGCCUACCUGGAUUGGAUGUGCUCAUGUGGGAUUAGCUAGUUGGUGAGGUAACGGCUCACCAAGGCGACGAUCUCUAGCUGGUCUGAGAGGAUGACCAGCCACACUGGAACUGAGUCACGGUCCAGACUCCUACGGGAGGGAGCAGUGGGGAAUAUUGCACAAUGGGGGAAACCCUGAUGCAGCCAUGCCGCGUGUGUGAAGAAGGCCUUCGGGUUGUAAAGCACUUUCAGUAGGGAGGAAGGGUUGAUGUCUAAUACGCAUCAACAUUGACGUUACCUACAGAAGAAGCACCGGCUAACUCCGUGCCAGCAGCCGCCGUAAAAC